rnacentral:rRNA from 1 species
GGUUGCGAUCAUACCAGCACUAAUGCACCGGAUCCCAUCAGAACUCCGCAGUUAAGCGUGCUUGAGCGAGAGUAGUACUAGGAUGGGUGACCCCCUGGGAAGUCCUCGUGUUGCAACCCC